rnacentral:rRNA from 1 species
UACGAGGGGUGCGAGCGUUGCUCGGAAUUAUUGGGCGUAAAGGGUAUGUAGGUGGUUUCGUUUGUCUGGGGUGAAAGCCUUGAGCUUAACUCAAGAAGUGCCCCGGAAACGGCGAAACUCGAGUACUGGAGAGGGUCGUGGAAUUCCCGGUGUAGCGGUGAAAUGCGUAGAGAUCGGGAGGAACACCAGAGGCGAAGGCGGCGACCUGGACAGUUACUGACACUCAACUACGAAAGCGUGGGGAGCAAACAGG